CCCUCCUAUUUGCUUUCUUAACCCAUACGCGCUAUGCUCUGAUAUGCUUCCAACAAAAGUAUUUUCCAUCUCAAAAAAAGAUAAGGAAAAAACACGUGGGUAAAAGAAAAAAUUGAAUUUAAGACGAAAAUUCACAAGUUUUAGCUACUGGAUGAACCCUAAGAUUCGUACAUCGAUCAAGGAAAAAUAAAAUAAAACUCCCAAAAAAUUAAUUCGAACCCAUAAAAAACCCCAUUAAAGGAAAUUAUAAAUUCAAAAAAUUAAGAAAAAAAUCCUAUCAAAUUAGUCAAUCCUUCUUCUUCAACCUAAUUACCCACUUUCCUCUCUCCUCCAGAAUUCUGCAUUUAUUUCAGUGGGAGUUUUAUAUCUUUUUUUGAUGAUUUGAUUUUAAUUCAUCCCUUUUUAUUAUUCCAGCUGCUGAUUUUUCCACUUUAAUUAGCUGGGUUUUCUCUUUUAUGAUUUGAUUUUAAUGGGAAUUUGAUAGUAUUGUGGAGACAUUUCAAGUUUGAAGCUUCUUUCUCCUUCCUUAAUAAGAUCAAAGAUGAGGUCUAAUAUGACAGGAUCAGGGUUUUACAACUCAGAACCACGAAACUUCAACCGUGGUUUUGGGCGUGGGGCACCGAGAUCAUUUCAACCAUCUCCGCGUCAUUCAUCACCGCAGCCAUCCCGUAAAGGCGAUCUUUUCAUCGAGGCUGGUAAAUUAGCGGUUGAUUAUUUGGUUUCGCGUGGAUUGUUGUCCUCAAAUGUUGUCUCUGGUAAAUGUCAGAAUGGCAGUUUGAAAAACAACUUAGGGGAAUUACAGGAUCUUCAUAAUUCGUUAGAUAGGGAUAGUAGUGGAAGGUCCUCGACAGAUUUGGAUCUGACUAUGUCAAGGAAUAACUCAAGGGAAAGGAGAAGACUUGGACCAUUUAGGAGUUAUAGUUCUGACUGGAGCCGUGAGAAUGAAAAGGAAGGAUCGCUGAGUGAAGAUGCUGUUCCUUCAAGGACCAUGGAAGUUGAUAAUGAUACGUUUCACAAGGAUACUACCAAUGAUACAGAUGCCAUUGUUCAGAAUUCUCAUUCAGCUGAGCCUGCUGCCAAAGAUGAUAGGCAAAGUGAAUUGCAGGAUGAGAUUGCAAAGGGAUGUUCUCUUGGUGAUUUAGAAUCAACGGUGAAUUCUUUGGUCCAAAACAAGGAUGAUAAAGAGGUAGUGAAAACUUCUGAUGCAGUGAACAACGUGUUUAAGGAGACUAAAACUGGCACUGAGAAUUAUGACAAGGAGAAAGAUGCUAUUGUGGAUAACAUGGUUAUUCAGCAAGGUGAAGAAAAGAGCAAUGCUUCUCCUUUGAUGAGCAGCAACCCAGACAGUGAUCCACUUCUGUUCAGCAAGGAGAACAAUAUCACUGAGACUGGAUCUGAUUCUCUUGACUGCCAAAAAUAUGAAACCAUGAAUGGUUCAGAAGAGAUUCCUAGUUCCAAGUCCCUUGGUGUAUCUGAUCACUCUUUCAGUGAGGCAGGAGCUAUGAGCCCUACGUACCCUGCUGAUCAGCAAAAAUUCAUGGAAUCUCUGCCUUUUACUGAUAAAACAUUUUCUUAUGAACAAAAAACUAGUGAAUUGCCUGAGCUUGGGAUGUGCAGUUCUAUUGCUAAAGAUAGAGGUGAGAAACGACCCAUGGAGGUGGAUCAUAUGAUGGAGGGAGCAAAGAAAGCUAAGCAACAAUGGCUUUCUGUUGCUCAAAGUGAUGAGUACUCGCAGCUCUCAGAUCUGAGGGACAAGCAUUCUGUUUCACCAGUAAAAAGGGCCAUUAACAUUUUUAAUGUGUCUGCUAGUCAGGAGAGCUUUACCAAUGUCUCAUUGCCUCUGAAAGGGGGUGUUGAAUCCGAUUUAAACCAAGGAGAGAAGCAGCUGCUCUCAAACUCAUUUAAAAUUUGCGACCUCAAUCUUAUGGAAGCCUCUGAUUUGCAUGAGAAUCAUGAAGUUCCUGCGUUGUUGUAUCCCACAAUUCAAGGUUCCAGUCGAGAGUUACCUGUUGAUUUCGAUUUGUCCAUUAGGAACAGUUGCAGUUUAACUAAUGAAUUCAAUGGCUCUGGAUCAGUGAGAAAAGAUAUUGAAAUAAUUGAUUUGGAAAGUACGUCUUUGGAGGGAUGCAAGAGCUCAGAUACAUCCAUGAAAAAUACUGAAGCUGGCAUCACAAGCAUGGAGAGCUUUCAAAAUCCACAAAAUGCUACUGAGAAUCCAGAUGGUCAGGAUGGGUAUGGGUUCAUGAUCUCAGAGUUGCUCGGUAAUGAUGUCCCAAAUUGUCCUUCCGUUCAGCCCGAUAUGAAUUCUCUGCACAAUGGCAUGGGCCUUAAUCAUGGCGAGGCAAUGUUCAGUGAAGAUGAUCCAAUCUACAUGUCCUUGGGAGAAAUUCCUCUAAGUAUGCCAGAUAUUUAAAUUGCUGCAGGUCUUUUACGUGCAUGGGAGCAGCCUACGCAAGAGAGAAAUCCUUUUGAACUGUAGCUUAAUAACAUGAGUUGCAAAUAACGCUGUAAUCAGGGUAUCUGCAUGCUGCAAUCACCUGUUUGAAGUCCGUUAAGAUAAUGAGAUUUUGUAGUCAGAGAUUGCAAUUAUCCUCGUACUGUUACUAGCUGUGUAAAUGACACAUUGUACUUGAGGAUGUUGCUUGCUUGAGGUACCCUGGAAAUCGUGAAAGGUUCCUGUGUUCAGGACAAAGACCUCCUUUUUCCAACCUAUGAGCAUGGUGUGCCAUUCUGAAUUAGAUUUAGCCAUCAUUUAGAUGUUUUUACAAAUUUAUGUGUAGUCUAUGCUCAAUAAGCACCAGUUUCAAAUGCAAUACCAGUGUGUAACAGUAUGGCAUAUUGUAAUGUAUAUGCGCAUUUGCCACGAGCAUUGUGUACGAAUGACUGGAACUGCACCCAUGUUUAUAGGAGUGUUACCGGUGAUGACGGUUUUAUCGAAAUUAGAGAAGCAAAUGUUGUUCAUGUAGAAGAAGACGAGUCCUUGUAGCCGUAGGAAACACUUUUCUUAUAUUUGGGAACAAAUACUAUUGUUAUAUUGCUUCAUCUUAUCUUCGGUUAAUCAUAGCUUAUUUCUAAUUA